UCGAACAAGCCCGAUUAUAAAACCCCUUCUCGCCCAGCACACUCCUAUUGUAGUGGUAAAUAAAAUACCAAAUCUUCUCCAGCAAGAGGAAAGGCGGUUUGGUUGGUAUAUUCGUUGAUCAGCGGAUAAUCGGAGUAAGGAUGAAGAAGGAAGACACGGUGAAGUUGAUUAGCGCCGAGGGUUUCGAAUUCGUGAUUGAUAAGAAGGCUGCCAUGGUUUCUCAGACCAUCCGCAACAUGCUCACUUCUCCAGGUAGCUUUGCUGAAACGGAGCACGGAGAGGUGACUUUUCCGGAGAUAAGCACUACUAUUCUGGAGAAGAUUUGUCAGUACUUUUACUGGUCCCUUCAAUAUGCCAGUGGCAAGGAAACUGAGUUCCAUAUUGAACCUGAGCUGACUUUGGAACUUAUGAUGGCGGCUAAUUAUCUACACACCUGAAAGGUCCCCAAACAGUUUCUGCGCAACAUCUCCAAUUUAACAUUGUAGGUACUAGGUCCCCUUUUAUUUUAUCUCACAUCAUGGAAAAAGAACGAGUGGUUGCGAUUAAUGGAGAAGCUCAAUAUGCUGAUCUGAUGCUCCAUUAGUUUUAAGUUUUCUUUCUUCAUGUGUGGGAUAUUUAGUGUUAAUAUUUGGGAAUGUAGUAAUUGUAAUAUUCUAAUUGUAGACUUGACAAACUUAUGACAAGACUUCUAAAGAGCAAGUGAUUGCAUGGUUGUGUUUAAGUUCACGCUUUUAUGUUUCAUUAAAGACUUCCUUUUGUAAUAUACACACCCUUGAAAAUAUAAACUCUACUGGCUAUUCUAUGGGCUUUUUUGGUUGUAA